AUACUCGACCCUCAGUGCUGGUUGGCAUUGCAUUUCAUCAGCAAUGGAAGAUUGUAGUGAAAAGAGAAAAAAAUAAAUAAAGCCACUCUUUCCAAGCCUGGCAAAAAGCAUUGAAUUUGAAUGGGUCAUAUAACAGAACAUCAUGAGUCCUUGUAACUGAAAUAGAGAUCAGAUAUGAUAUUUCCAUUGAUACAGUAUACCAGCAAGCAUUGUAACAAAAAGCUACUGCGUGUUGUCACCUUCCAGAUCGGGGCAGAGACUGUGACUGAUUUAUCAGUUCCAUAUUCCAGGAGGUGAGCAGGAAGGAGAGAGCAGUUCUCCAGAACAUUUUUAGCAACGAGCAGGUUUCAUCCAAGAUCUGACGCAGAGUAUUGGUAUUGGAGAAGAGCUGCUUGACCGUCUGAUGAUCCAAAUGCUACACAGUUACCUUGGAUCCAUCAAUUUCCAGAAAGGCAGCAUUAACACAGGAUUGGACAAUAGCCUCCAUCCUUUGAACCAGCAUUCUGCCCUCCAUAAUCUGUUGCUGGAGAGCAUUGUAGUCAUCAAUGUGC